AAAACAGGAUCCAAGCUGGUGUUCAGUGCUCUUCCUCAGCCUAUCAGGACAAGCCUAUGCAUGGCUCUGUCUUUGGCGCCACAAAGCCUGUGGAAGCCUGUGGAAUACUGCUCCUCCCCAUGGUGUUCAGGGCCUUCGACAACCUAGCUUCCCAACACUCUGUGUUCUGACCAGAGGAGACCGCUCUCUGCCAUUCUAGACACGUACUUGGGUGUCUGCAGUCGGCCUGCCUCACCUGCGAGGAUUCCUCCCCGAGUGUCGUCCUUCCCUCCCCAGCCUCACCAUCCUUCCCACCACACGAAAUCCUCCAAGCCUCGUACAGGUCCUGAAGCCAAACAAAGCACAAGUUUAAAACAUCACAGAGAAGCUGCCAGGAAAUAUUCAAAUAUUUCCAGAACUUCAAAGAGCUGAGCUGGCUUCGUUUUAUUUUGUUGGUGAUGAGGGUGGAAGUGGUGUUGGCUCCAAAGCCAUCUGAAGUCGGCCUCUUCCUGACAGUCUGGCCAUGUCUGCCUCCCUGGCUGCUUCUGUUUGUUCACAGGCCACAUAGUGUCUGAGCUGAGGAUGUGUUGAUUGUCAUGCUUCUUUAUAAGUAAUGAGCAGUCUAUCCAGAUCUGUUUUCUUCCUCCAGAACAAGUGCAAGUUUCAUCUAAGAACAGACAAACUUGGACUUGUUGGAUAACAGUCUUAAGAAAUUUUAAGAUUUCUACCUUUUCUAAGUUACCAUGACCUGAUUCGACCUACCCUGAAUGUUCUUCUCAUCUCAGAUUCAUUUACUUUCCUCAAAAUCCAGCUGUACUACCCAGUGUUUGCAAAUACUUCCCCUGCUGCUGGUACAAGUCACAGAGCAAAGACUGACAAAGUCUUCCUACCAUCUUAUCCUACAAGAGCUGAAAUCUCAGUGGCUGUUGGUCUUAAAUUCUUCAUCUCUUGGUGAAGGAUCCAGAAAAACCUACUCUGAGUUCUACUUCCUCUGUCCGACUUUCCCCGCCCAAACUUGGUUGGAAGCCCCUUUCACCUGAUCACUUCUAAGAGAAACUGGGCUCUUUGAAGAGACUUCAAAACAUUUGUUGACUGAACUGCAUGGUUUAAAAAAAAAAGAAGACAGACCUGUAUUCAAGGAACCCAAUUCUACCAUCUAUGUGAUCUUGGACAAGUUAUUUAUUUUUUACUGUAGUUAGGAAUAAUGUUUUUGGACAAGUUAUUUAAGUCUUCACAUCAGUUUCUUAGUCUCUAAAGCAGAAGUAAAAAUAUCUACUUCACAAGUGUGUUAUGAUGAAAAAGCAUAAAGCAGUUAACGCAAUGCCUGGCAUCUAGGAAAUGCACCAGCAACUGACAGUGGGUAUAAUGUCUCCGGAAUAACUUGCUUGCCAACUCUUCAUUUAGUAUGAGAUACACUUGGGCUAUGGAGGCUACUUCCAACAUAUCCAAAAAUGCUGUCCUUGAGGAAGUUGAAAUUCACAUUAGCAACCAGGAGUUCCAGUGUUUUCAAUACCUUCUCCCUCCUCAAAGCUUCUGGAUUAAAGACAAUUUCCUAUUUCUCUCGUAUGGGAUGGGCCUCCCUGGAUCCUCAGAACUCUUACAGCACACAUACCUCUCACCCUCCUGGUGAAAGCAACAGGCUCUUUUCUGCAGAAUCCAUAGUGGUUCAUACCUCACAUAUUGAAUGGGAACAAUCCUUCCCUAUGGUCGUAUAUUGAUUGCGAGUACAGGGUCUAGAUCCAAACUGUCUAGGUUCAAAUCCCUGUUCUGCCAUGUAUUAUCUGUGAACUUGAGCAAGGAACUGGACUUCUGCAAGCCUCAGUUUCCUUAUCCAUAAAAUGAGGAGAGCAAUACUUGGUUCAUAGGGUUAUCGCAAGGAUUCAAUGACAUACUUUGUAUCAAGAGCUCACAACAGUGUUUGGCACCUGGAGGAAGGCGGGAAAAGAGGACUUGGAGUGAGCAUCCCAAGAGAACUCAACCCCCAUCAGAAGCAGCCCACUGAGGGAGAGACUCACUGCGGACAGAGACACCAGCACCCUCUGGAACAUGAAGGAAGUGUCAGAGCGAAUGUCAUCCUCAAGGCUCCGCCCAUAUUCUGGCAAGAGAGCAAAGUUAGCUGCAUCAGAGUAGAGUCCUGCCCAGCACUGUCAUGCUCCAGAACCAUCUGCCCUCCCCAAGAUUGGCCGGUUUACCAAAGCAGCUCAUUAUGAGGGUUUUCAACCCCAUGCACAGUUUUUCCAAAACUGAACUCUCGUAAAAUGCUCAAGAGUAGACAUGGAAAAUCCAGGGAAAAACAAAUAAGAUGGAGGAAAAACACCCCACAAAAUUCCACCAUAAUAUAAUCACCUAGAAAUAAUAAUCAUUUGAUACCA